CAGAGGACCAACCAGGAGAUUGUGAGCCAGUGUGUCUUCACCUGGAGUAGGAGAAGUGAGUGCACCUCUCACUGACUUAUCCUGAUGUUGGUGGUUUUAAAGAGUGGAUUCUGGAGAAUCUCAGCAGGGAAGAGGAUGCCUUUCCAGGUUCUUCUGACGACAACCUGAGUUUAGUGUGCCUGCCACCAAGUGAAGUUGAUGAUUUGGAUGAUGAUGAUGAUGCCCAGAUUUCACCAUCACAUGUCCAGGCUUGGCCUGAGGAUGGCCUGUUCUUACGAUGUGCGCCACGAUGCAAAGAUGAAGAUGAUGAUGAUGAUGAUGAUGAUG